rnacentral:rRNA from 1 species
AGGACGAACGCUGGCGGCGUGCCUAACACAUGCAAGUCGAACGAGAUCCAACUUGUGGCAACACUUGUGAAGAUCUAGUGGCGAACGGGUGAGUAACACGUGAGGAACCUACCCCGGAGACCGGGAUAACUGGCCGAAAGGCCAGCUAAUACCGGAUAUCCCCAUCGGAUCGCAUGGUCUGAUGUGGAAAUGGAUUCCGCUCCGGGAGGGCCUCGCGGCCCAUCAGCUCGUUGGUGAGGUAACGGCUCACCAAGGCAUCGACGGGUAGCUGGUCUGAGAGGACGACCAGCCACACUGGGACUGAGACACGGCCCAGACUCCUACGGGAGGCAGCAGUGGGGAAUCUUGCGCAAUGGGCGAAAGCCUGACGCAGCAACGCCGCGUGGGGAUGAAGGCCUUCGGGUUGUAAACCCUUUCAGCAGGGACGAAAUUGACGGUACCUGCAGAAGAGCCCGGCUAACUACGUGCCAGCAGCCGC